rnacentral:rRNA from 1 species
GACGAACGCUGGCGGCGUGCCUAAUACAUGCAAGUCGAACGCUGAAGGAGGAGCUUGCUUCUCUGGAUGAGUUGCGAACGGGUGAGUAACGCGUAGGUAACCUGCCUGGUAGCGGGGGAUAACUAUUGGAAACGAUAGCUAAUACCGCAUAAUAGUAGAUGUUGCAUGACAUUUGCUUAAAAGGUGCAAUUGCAUCACUACCAGAUGGACCUGCGUUGUAUUAGCUAGUUGGUGGGGUAACGGCUCACCAAGGCGACGAUACAUAGCCGACCUGAGAGGGUGAUCGGCCACACUGGGACGGAGACACGGCCCAGACUCCUACGGGAGGCAGCAGUAGGGAAUCUUCGGCAAUGGACGGAAGUCUGACCGAGCAACGCCGCGUGAGUGAAGAAGGUUGUCGGAUCGUAAAGCUCUGUUGUAAGAGAAGAACGAGUGUGAGAGUGGAAAGUUCACACUGUGACGGUAUCUUACCAGAAAGGGACGGCUAACUACGUG